rnacentral:rRNA from 1 species
GUAUAAGCAUUAUACAGCGAAACUGCGAAUGGCUCAUUAUAUAAGUUAUCGUUUAUUUGAUAGUACCUUACUACUUGGAUAACCGUGGUAAUUCUAGAGCUAAUACACGCUAAAAAUCCCGACUUCGGAAGGGAUGUAUUUAUUAGAUUAAAAACCAAUGCCCUCUGGGCUCCUUGGUGAUUCAUGAUAACUUCUCGAAUCGCAUGGCCUUGCGCCGGCGAUGGUUCAUUCAAAUUUCUUCCCUAUCAACUUUCGAUGUUUGGGUAGUGGCCAAACAUGGUUGCAACGGGUAACGGAGGGUUAGGGCUCGACCCCGGAGAAGGAGCCUGAGAAACGGCUACUACAUCCAAGGAAGGCAGCAGGCGCGCAAAUUACCCAAUCCCGAUUCGGGGAGGUAGUGACAAUAAAUACUGAUACAGGGCUCUUUUGGGUCUUGUAAUUGGAAUGAGUACAAUUUAAAUCCCUUAACGAGGAACAAUUGGAGGGCAAGUCUGGGCCCGCCAGCC